rnacentral:rRNA from 1 species
GACGAACGCUGGCGGCGUGCCUAAUACAUGCAAGUAGAACGCUGAAGAGAGGAGCUUGCUCUUCUUGGAUGAGUUGCGAACGGGUGAGUAACGCGUAGGUAACCUGCCUUGUAGCGGGGGAUAACUAUUGGAAACGAUAGCUAAUACCGCAUAACAAUGGAUGACACAUGUCAUUUAUUUGAAAGGGGCAAUUGCUCCACUACAAGAUGGACCUGCGUUGUAUUAGCUAGUAGGUGAGGUAAUGGCUCACCUAGGCGACGAUACAUAGCCGACCUGAGAGGGUGAUCGGCCACACUGGGACUGAGACACGGCCCAGACUCCUACGGGAGGCAGCAGUAGGGAAUCUUCGGCAAUGGGGGCAACCCUGACCGAGCAACGCCGCGUGAGUGAAGAAGGUUUUCGGAUCGUAAAGCUCUGUUGUAAGUCAAGAACGGGUGUGAGAGUGGAAAGUUCACACUGUGACGGUAGCUUACCAGAAAGGGACGGCUAACUACGUGCCAGCAGCCGCGGUAAUACGUAGGUCCCGAGCGUUGUCCGGAUUUAUUGGGCGUAAUGCGAGCGCAGGCGGUUUGAAAAUUCUGAAGUUAAAGGCUGUGGCUCCACCAUAGCUUCGCUUUGGAAACUGUCAAACUUGAGUGCAGAAGGGGAGAGUGGAAUUCCAUGUGUAGCGGUGAAAUGCGUAGAUAUAUGGAGGAACACCGGUGGCGAAAGCGGCUCUCUGGUCUGUAACUGACGCUGAGGCUCGAAAGCGUGGGGAGCGAACAGGAUUAGAUACCCUGGUAGUCCACGCCGUAAACGAUGAGUGCUAGGUGUUGGAUCCUUUCCGGGAUUCAGUGCCGCAGCUAACGCAUUAAGCACUCCGCCUGGGGAGUACGACCGCAAGGUUGAAACUCAAAGGAAUUGACGGGGGCCCGCACAAGCGGUGGAGCAUGUGGUUUAAUUCGAAGCAACGCGAAGAACCUUACCAGGUCUUGACAUCCCGAUGCUAUUUCUAGAGAUAGAAAGUUACUUCGGUACAUCGGUGACAGGUGGUGCAUGGUUGUCGUCAGCUCGUGUCGUGAGAUGUUGGGUUAAGUCCCGCAACGAGCGCAACCCCUAUUGUUAGUUGCCAUCAUUCAGUUGGGCACUCUAGCGAGACUGCCGGUAAUAAACCGGAGGAAGGUGGGGAUGACGUCAAAUCAUCAUGCCCCUUAUGACCUGGGCUACACACGUGCUACAAUGGUUGGUACAACGAGUUGCGAGUCGGUGACGGCGAGCUAAUCUCUUAAAGCCAAUCUCAGUUCGGAUUGUAGGCUGCAACUCGCCUACAUGAAGUCGGAAUCGCUAGUAAUCGCGGAUCAGCACGCCGCGGUGAAUACGUUCCCGGGCCU